CCUACGGGAGGCAGCAGUGGGGGAUAUUGGACAAUGGGGGAAACCCUGAUCCAGCGAUGCCGCGUGAGGGAAGAAGGUUUUCGGAUUGUAAACCUCUGUGGAGGGGGACGAUAAUGACGGUACCCCUUAGGAAGCCACGGCUAACUACGUUCCAGCAGCCGCGGUAAUACGUAGGUGGCGAGCGUUAUCCGGAUUUAUUGGGUUUAAAGGGUGCGUAGGCGGACUGUUAAGGCAGCGGUAAAAGCCCGGGGCUCAACCCCGGCGAGCCGUUGAAACUGGCUGUCUUGAGAUGUCGAGAGGUAUGCGGAAUGCGCAGUGUAGCGGUGAAAUGCUUAGAUAUUGCGCAGAACUCCGAUUGCGAAGGCAGCAUACCGGCGGCGAUCUGACGCUGAGGCACGAAAGCGUGGGUAUCGAACAGGAUUAGAUACCCUAGUAGUC
rnacentral:rRNA from 1 species